GUCGUGAGAUGUUGGGUUAAGUCCCGCAACGAGCGCAACCCUUAUCCUAUGUUGCCAGCGGGUAAUGCCGGGGACUCGUAGGAGACCGCCGGGGUCAACUCGGAGGAAGGUGGGGACGACGUCAAGUCAUCAUGCCCCUUAUGUCUAGGGCUGCAAACAUGCUACAAUGGCCGGUACAAAGGGCUGCGAAACCGCGAGGUCGAGCGAAUCCCAAAAAGCCGGUCUCAGUUCGGAUUGAAGUCUGCAACUCGACUUCAUGAAGCUGGAGUCGCUAGUAAUCCCGGAUCAGCAACGCCGGGGUGAAUACGUUCCCGGGCCUUGUACACACCGCCCGUCACACCACGAAAGUUGGCAACACCCGAAGUCAGUGGCCGAACCCUUCGGGGACGGAGCUGCCGAAGGUGGGGUUAGCGAUUGGGGUGAAGUCGUAACAAGGUAGCCGUACCGGAAGGUGCGGCUGGAUCACCUCCUUUCUAAGGAGUCCAUUCCGCUCGGUUCACGAGACUUCUGUCCCGUGUCGAGUUUGGACACCCAGUUGAUGCACUCUCCUGGCGUUCGGUAGUUCGCUGAUCUCACGAUCCUCGAGCCCGAGCGUCCGUCCUGUCUUCCGUUGUGAAGGUGCGCUGCGACCACCACUCUGGUGGUCGAGAAGCGCGGGCCUUCCCUCGGCGACCUCUGAGUCGCCGGCGCGCAGCUUGAGAAUUUCAUAGCGAGCACGAGCAUCUUUGAUGCAAUACCCAAGCUACGAAGGGCCAACGGUGAAUGCCUUGGCGACUAGAACCGAUGAAGGACGUGGGAGGCUGCGAUAAGCCACGGGAAGGUGCCGACCUACCGUCGAUCCGUGGAUGU
rnacentral:sRNA from 1 species